UACAGAGACUGCAAGCGUUAUUCGGAUUCACUGGGCGUAAAGGGUGCGCAGGCGGUUUUGUAAGCCAGAUGUGAAAUCCCCGGGCUUAACCUGGGAAUGGCAUUUGGGACUGCAAGGCUGGAGUGUGGCAGAGGAGACUGGAAUUCCCGGUGUAGCAGUGAAAUGCGUAGAUAUCGGGAGGAAUACCGAUGGCGAAGGCAGGUCUCUGGGCUGACACUGACGCUCAUGCACGAAAGCGUGGGGAGCAAACAGG
rnacentral:rRNA from 1 species